GAUGAACGCUGGCGGCGUGCCUAAUACAUGCAAGUCGAGCGAACAGACGAGGAGCUUGCUCCUCUGACGUUAGCGGCGGACGGGUGAGUAACACGUGGAUAACCUACCUAUAAGACUGGGAUAACUUCGGGAAACCGGAGCUAAUACCGGAUAAUAUAUUGAACCGCAUGGUUCAAUAGUGAAAGACGGUUUUGCUGUCACUUAUAGAUGGAUCCGCGCCGCAUUAGCUAGUUGGUAAGGUAACGGCUUACCAAGGCGACGAUGCGUAGCCGACCUGAGAGGGUGAUCGGCCACACUGGAACUGAGACACGGUCCAGACUCCUACGGGAGGCAGCAGUAGGGAAUCUUCCGCAAUGGGCGAAAGCCUGACGGAGCAACGCCGCGUGAGUGAUGAAGGUCUUCGGAUCGUAAAACUCUGUUAUUAGGGAAGAACAAAUGUGUAAGUAACUAUGCACGUCUUGACGGUACCUAAUCAGAAAGCCACGGCUAA
rnacentral:rRNA from 1 species